rnacentral:rRNA from 1 species
GACGGAGGGUGCAAACGUUGUUCGGAAUCACUGGGCGUAAAGGGCGCGUAGGCGGACUUGUAAGUCGGGAGUGAAAACUCGGGGCUCAACCCCGAGCCUGCUUCUGAAACUGCGAGUCUUGAGGACCGGAGAGGAAAGUGGAAUUCCUAGUGUAGCGGUGGAAUGCGUAGAUAUUCGCAAGAACACCAGUGGCGAAGGCGGCUCACUGGCCCGGUACUGACGCUGAGGUGCGAAAGCGUGGGGAGCAAACAGG